AUUACAAGCAUGAGCCACCACGCCUGGCCUUCCUUUUUCAAAAAAAAUUCAUUCUGUUCCAGGUGGUCAAACAUUUCUUUUGUUUUUACUGACCUAUGGAAAAGGAGAUGUGUGUCCACAAUUCUGCCUACCCCAAGUUUUCGAGGAAACUCUUUGCUUAUUAUACUUUAUGUUAUAUAAUGCCUCCAGUGGGACUUGGGGUUAGCACUUUGCAAUGAGACAUGUUAAUGUGUCUUCAGUAAGACAUGAUUAUUCAUAUGAGAUGGGGAUAAGUAAAGAUUAUAAUAACUUCAUGUCAUUUCAGGUCAGAUUUUUGCUUCUAAAUGAUUAGAAGGAAAAAAGAAUUUCUGUUUUUAGAACGUUUUGGAUUUCAGAAUUGCAGCUAAAGGACUGCGGACCCAUAAUUUUCUCCUGUUUUGCACUGAUAGUAGUUUAACUUGUGGACCAUCCAAAAUAUGUUUGAGAGAGGACCCUUAUGGCCUCUUUUGUUUAGAAAACAAAAUAAACUUUGUUUCCACCAAAAUGCUUGCCUCCCUGACAUGUAGGGGCUGCUGUGGCACCAUUCACGUGUGUGUCCCCUUGAGAGCCUAGCUCUAAGCUUGACAGUUCUCAGGAGUGGGGAGUUCUCUCUGUACGCUCUUUCCCUCACCCAACCAGUCCCUUCAGCUGCAUCGCAUUUCUCCUCUUCUACGGGAUCUGGAGAGUUGCUGGCUUCCGUCAUUGUGUGGGGACCGACAUUGUGUGGGGACCGUCACAGGUUGCACUGUUCAACAGGCAGUUUUUCUGGACACCACACACUCCCCAAGCCUUUGUUUCUUGAUUUUGGGAGCAUUCUCCAUGGAAACCACUUUGGCUCAUCUCAUCCCAUUCCCAGGUGGUCUCCGAGGCUUUGCCCACACAGUGCCACAAUGAAAAAUGCAGCCUGGCUCACCCAUUAGUGUUUCACGUUUUCAUCGCCUAUUUGUCUCGUGGUACAAUCCCACGGAAUCUUCUGCAGAGGGUGGUGUUGCGCCAUUCCUUCUGACCCAAGUAUUGGCUCUUACUCUGCUCAGUGUGAGACACACUUUUCACGCUCACAGUGAUGCCUCACUUCAUCCAAAGCCACUCUGCGAUUAGGUGAGUCUCAGGCCAGAUGGUUUGACCAACUUCAAUUUCUGCUCCCACUUUGACUCCUUUAGGCCCCUUAUGUUCCUUUUAGCUGUUGUUUCUCUGGAUUAUGAAGUACAUCAAGCAGUGUGUAUCUUUGGCAACUGUUUAUACCGGUAAGUGUCUGGCUGUUGGUGAUGGUGGCUGUAGUUUGGCAGUGCUACCAGCUUCUCCCAGCACCUGGCUUAUCAGAGUGCAGGAUUCAUGCCAUGUGGCUUGAAUCAUGCCAUGUGGCCAAGAGUCUUCAGUCAGCCUAGUGACUUAAGUUGCCAGGGAAACUGUGUCUAGUGAGACCUCAAGAUUUACAACUCGUUCCUAGGCUACAAGGUUUUCUCCAGAAUUUUCGCUGACACAGUUUACUCCCAUAAUCUCCCAGCCCUGUGGGGUGUAUAAAUCUUUCAGCUUCUCUGCAGAAUUCACUUUACUGCAUGCAAGGCCUAGAAUAGGGGUCAAGAGAAGUUUGGCUUCAGGGAGUUUAUGAACUUGGACAUUUGUACGCACUACUUUGUGUGGAUGUAUGUAUGGGCCUUUUUUUUUUUUUUGUGGGAAGAGCCUUGCACCAGGUGCUCAGCAGCAUUUUCUAAAACAACGUAGCCUUGGGAAAUCUAUUUAGUCACCUGAGCCUCUGGCAAGCAAGAAUAACACUAGAUUCCAUCCCAUUCAUUUGUAAUGAGGAUAAAAUGAGAAGUGCAUGUAAACUGUCUAGUACAGUGUCCCUGAGUAUUCACAAAUGUUAGCUAUCAUUUGUUCGACUCUGUGAGCCUCAAAGGGCUAAGAUGAUGUGACUGCCCUUUGGUCCUUAGGAUUAGGUGGCAGAUAUAUAAUUUGUACUAAUUAUCUUUAUGCUUUACAGGGAAUCUUGACAGUACCGCCUGGUGUGAUCUCCUUAACAUCCUUGUUGGUGGGUGGGCAAGGGUGCAUGACUAUCCUCUUUUACAAAUGAUAAAUGUCUUCUGCCAUUUAGACUACUGACACCUAAGGUAUAUUUGCUGUGAAACUGUCAGAAUCAAAAUGGAGUCAUUUAUGUCAAAACUCUGAAAAAUGGAGCCAGGGAAGGCCAUGAAUGAAGGCUUCUCAUGCAUGAGAACUGUCACAGAAGACUGCAAAAACACAACCAAGUCCCUUGCAACUUGACACAUACAAAAAGUGCUUCUGUGAGGACAUCUGCCCAGCAACUGCCGGUCCAGCCUUGGACUGAUGCCACCUUUGUUAAUGAUCCUUGUAGCCAAUUGUCUCAAAAAAAAAA